rnacentral:rRNA from 1 species
GACGUAGGGUGCGAGCGUUGUCCGGAUUUAUUGGGCGUAAAGGGCGCGUAGGCGGCCUUCUAAGUCAGACGUGAAAUCCCCCGGCUUAACCUGGGAACUGCGUCUGAUACUGGGAGGCUUGAGUAUGGGAGAGGGAUGUAGAAUUCCAGGUGUAGCGGUGAAAUGCGUAGAUAUCUGGAGGAAUACCGGUGGCGAAGGCGGCUCACUGGCCCGAUACUGACGCUGAGGUGCGAAAGCGUGGGGAGCAAACAGG